CCUUCGACGAGUCGAUUAGCUUGGGAUUGCUGAUCAAAGUGUGACGUAAAUUUGUCAUAAAACUAAAUAUUGGUGGGAAACCGAUAGCGAACAAGUAAUGUGAAUGAAAGUUGCAAAGAACUUUGAAAAGAGAGUUAAAGAGUACUCGAAAUCGUUGAAAGGGAAGCGUACAAAAACAGUGUUUCGCUGUAUCAUCUUUCCUCA
rnacentral:rRNA from 1 species